GUGCGAGCGGAGUCGGUAGCGACUGAGGAGCGCAAGAGCAGGGAGCUCUCCUCCCUAUGAUUCCCUGCGUCCCUCCUCACUAGUUAAUCAAUAUAUGUUUUACUGGUUUACUAGCUAUCGCGCGAACGACUGGGGAAGAGCGCAGGGCUUUGGCUGCCAUGGUUGCCCAAACGAACCCUGGUAGGAAGUGAGCAGAAUUGGCAGCAGAAGAUAAGCUGACCAUGAAGUUUAACUUAGGAGCAGAAAUAAAUUAAUCAUCAAUUGGUGUGCUAGUUAGUUUGUUAGACGGGUAAUAUGAUAAAAAGACUGUAAACUGAAUGGAAACACACUGGUGGGUGUAAGAACCACACACAUUAAACUCUGAUCGUGAGUGAAUCUAAGCUUUACCUUUUGCUUUUCUCUUUUAAUGUUUCAAUGUCAUCUUGUUCGAGUUUUUAUCCUGUAUAUAUCUAUUUAUUAUAUGGUAAGGUAGUGUUUAGGAGAAUCCGGGCCUUCUGAUUGGUUCUGUCUUGGUGGGGAUUUUGCCAUACGGACCUUUUCAUGUAAACAGUCAUAAGCAAUGCAUUUUAUUUUUCGAAAGCGGCCAAAAGCAUGCUCCUGACUACCAGCUAGCUUGCUCGAGCCGUGUCGGGGAAUGUUAGCUCUCGUGAAAACAAACCUAACCGUUCUCCAAGGGACCUGUAUAAAGUGUAAAGUAAUUAGCCAAGUAGAA